AAAAAAAUAAAAAAAAAAAAAAAAAAAAGGAUGCCAUCUUUAAAUGCUAUUUUACAUUGUAUUUAAAACUGUUUUCACAAGAAAAGCUCAUUGAUAAGUUUUGCACCUAAGGUGCAAGGGAACUCACUAUACACCUCACAAAAUUAACAUCCAGUUCAACCCUGAGCGAUUAGUAGGGGGAAAAAACAACCUGAUCUAUUUAUUUUAUUCAGUUUGCUGAA